CCAAUAUUCUACUGAGUUUCCACAAGGCUUACUUCUCUUCUGUUCCUCCAGACCAGAUCAGUGAGGGUGAUGCUCUUGGACUGAUCGACCCUCCUGCAGGCAGCUAAGGACAUGCACGUGCCGCUGUGAGAGGAGGAAUAUAUAUGCUUUAGGAAAGGACUUUAUGGGAAGUGGUGACUGUGACUAAAUGUCUUGGUGGAUGGUUCCAGUGAGCUGAUCCCCAUGGUGAGCAGGUUUUUCCCAGGUUUAUGAGUUUCAUCUGAGCAGAGCAGGAAUGCUUGUACUGACCCGGGUGUUGCUGAUGUCAGAAACCUGGGGACACUUCACAGUGCUCCUUUGCUUCUUGGGAUGUCACUGCAUUUUUGAAUCACUGCUGCAUUGGAUGACUGCCUUGGAUGAAGAUGUUCAAAACAGCAAGUGGUUGCAGCAAUUUUUAACUCCCCUAAGGUGAAGAGUGGUAGUUCUGCUGAUCUGCCAUGUACCACAUGUGUUUGCUGCUUCCUCCCAGCACAAGGGUGCAGGGACCUGUGGGGCUGGAGCAGGAUGGCACACUGUGGUUCUGUUUCAAGCAGCUUUCAAUGAAAAUGAGCAUCGGCUUGAUCUGGAAAAAUGCAAUGUGAACAUAGAAGCAGAGAGAACUCUCAAAACCAACUUCCUGGAUCGAGAGAGAAGAGCUCCAGCACAGUGGCCCUUUGUUGUACACUCACAGGCUGCAAAGGGAUGGGAUGUGUAAGACAAGGCUGUGUGCUUGCAGCAUUGCCCACGUGCAGUCUUGGGGGCAGAAUUGACACCUGUGCCACCACACAUCACUGCUGGGGCUGCCUACUCUCACACAAAGUACUGGAGACCAUCUCACCUCUACCACAGCUCACCUAGCUUAAUGGCUUCCUACAACAUCUCCCAGUUCAAAAGAAACUAAACUAUCUAUGCUUAUUUGACUUGGAGGAGCUGGUUGGUAUGCACAUCAUUUCUGCAUCUACGCAGCACUUGAAUAGCCUGGGCCUUUUCUUAUUACACCAGUGAAUAGCAGGCUUACACAUGCAAGUGAAAUCAGCUUCCACAUCAGGAGGAAGAGAAAUCUGUACUUGUUGGGGAAAACCUUUCAGGCAUUUAGAGCUGUAAAGUUGUCUGAAGCAGUUGUUGGUUAUAAUACCACCUUUGCCUAUGGCUUGCUGUUUAACAGCAUUGGUGUGUUGGUGCUAGUGAUCCCACACGUUGCUGUCAAAGCAGGUGGUGGUGAAGAAGGCUGUGUGCAUUUAAAAAGGGCUUGGGAGCAGCUUAUAACAGUAGGUCAAAAGUACCUGUGAGGAUGUCUGCCCCAUUCCAGUUGCCUGGCUCCAUAAAGCAGCUUUUCCCCUCCAGCUUUUGGCUUUGCACCCUUCCAGUGAUCAACCCUUGAUAGGUCCCAUCUGAUUUUUAUAUUUCAAAACACUACUUCUGAUGCUUCCUCCUCUCUCUCUCUCUCUCUCUGUUUCUAUCUUCUCAGUGCAUCUGGCUUUUUCCUUAGGCUCGAGUCCUGUCUAAGCCUGGUAAGUGAUUCUUCUUCUUGUGAGAUCCAGCCCUGAGCUUUGCCAUCACUCCCUGUGGAAGGGAGGUUUUACAGGCUCUUUUGGAUGUCUGAGUUGCCAGGUUAUCUGCUUUCUUGCUGAAUGUCUGUUAAAAGCAGCAGCUGGUUUAUCUGAUGGUAUCUGCUGUUGUAAACUGUGUUGUUAUUGUUCACCCUUUUGAUAUUUUUCUUUUCUUAAUUCUUCCUCUGCUGUCUCACUAGUCAGAUUUCCCAAAUAGCAAGGGAGCACCUUGGUAAUUUUACUUCUUGACUAAAUCCUUCUAAUUUCCCAUUUCUCUUCAGCAGUCCCAGGGGGAAUAUCUUCUAGGGGAAAAGUAGCUGUACAGCUACCAGGGCUCCUUUGCAUCCACACAUGCAGCCCUCGCUGGUGUAAUGCACUCAGUUAUCCCGAUGUUCAGCACAUCAGCCAAACACCCUUCGAGUUUUCUUUCUUUUGUUUCCCCCUCACUCCUGCAUCCUCCCUUCUGCUCCUGGGAAGGGUUCUCUGCAGACCCACCCGCUGGAUGCAGGGGCAGAGGGAUGUUGGAUAGAGCAGGUCUUUGCAGCACCUGGACAUGGGAGUGUUGCAGCAAUAACACAUGCUGCUCCAUGAAACCGGGGCUAGAUUCUGUGCAGUUUUUAAGUGCCUUCAGCUCUUCCCUCCCAAGCCCUGUCUGGACUGACACAUUCCUUAGGAAAGCUUUAUCUACUGACAUGGAAGAUAAAAUUAACUGUCAUUUGUUUAGCUACAUAUUGCACAGAAAAUAGAUCUUUGAACCCCCACAAUAUUCUAAAUGCAUAAAAAGAUCUAUUAUAAAAGAGAGAUGCUGAAGUUAUUCUGUAGAUUUAAGUCAUAAAAGUUAUCAAAUUAUUAAAUUCAAGUCUAGAUACAGGCUAUUUCACUGAGCUUUAGUGCAUUUCCCCUUUAGAAGAUAUUCUAAUUUAUGACUGCUUAAGUAGAGGGUACAAUAAUUUGCAUAAAAAAAUGGAACUGGAGCUCUUUCACAGCAAAGUAAUGCUGCAACCAUAUCUACCAUCUACUGUCAAAUAUUCGUCUUUGUUUGAAUCCCCAAAUUCUUUUUUUACAA